rnacentral:rRNA from 1 species
GAUUCGGCUAGAUCAUGGCUCAGAAUCACGCUGGCGGCGUGCUCAGACAUGCAGUCGAACGAUUAAGCUCUCUUCGGAGAGUGUAUAGAGUGGCGCACGGGUGAGUAACACGUAAGUAAUCUACCUUCGAGUGGGGAAUAACCCGGGGAAACCCGAGCUAAUACCGCAUAAUGCAGCGGCAUCGCAAGAUGACAGUUGUUAAAGGAUUUAUUCGCUUGAAGAGGAGCUUGCGGCAGAUUAGCUAGUUGGUAAGGUAAUGGCUUACCAAGGCUACGAUCUGUAACCGGCCUGAGAGGGCGGUCGGUCACACUGACACUGAAUAACGGGUCAGACUCCUACGGGAGGCAGCAGUCGGGAAUUUUGGGCAAUGGGCGAAAGCCUGACCCAGCAACGCCGCGUGAAGGAUGAAGUAUUUCGGUAUGUAAACUUCGAAAGAAUAGGAAGAAUAAAUGACGGUACUAUUUAUAAGGUCCGGCUAACUACGUGCCAGCAGCGCGGUAAUACGUAGGGACCAAGCGUUGUUCGGAUUUACUGGGCGUAAAGGGCGCGUAGGCGGCAAUUCAAGUCAUCUGUGAAAUCUCCGGGCUUACUCGGAACGGUCAGAUGAUACUGCUUUGCUAGAGUGCAGAAGGGGCAAUCGGAAUCUUGGUGUAGCGGUGAAAUGCGUAGAUAUCAAGAGGAACACCUGAGGUGAAGACGGGUUGCUGGGCUGACACUGACGCUGAGGCGCGAGCAGGAGCAACGGAUUAGAUACCCGGUAGUCCUGGCCUAAACGGAUGAUACUUGGUGUCUGAGUCUAUUGCUCGU